AUGUAAUGUAAUGCCUACAUCAUUAAUGCAUCGGAUCCCAUUAGAACUCUGAAUUUAAGUACACUUGGGCUAGAGUAUUUUUGGGAUGGGUGACCUCCUAGGAAGUCCUAGUAUUUUACAUG
rnacentral:rRNA from 1 species